rnacentral:rRNA from 1 species
UACGUAGGGUGCAAGCGUUGUCCGGAAUUAUUGGGCGUAAAGAGCUCGUAGGCGGUUUGUCGCGUCGAAUGUGAAAACCCGGGGCUCAACCCCGGGCCUGCAUUCGAUACGGGCGGACUAGAGUUCGGUAGGGGAGUCUGGAAUUCCUGGUGUAGCGGUGAAAUGCGCAGAUAUCAGGAGGAACACCGGUGGCGAAGGCGGGACUCUGGGCCGAUACUGACGCUGAGGAGCGAAAGCGUGGGGAGCGAGCAGG